rnacentral:rRNA from 1 species
UACGUAGGUGGCGAGCGUUGUCCGGAUUUACUGGGCGUAAAGAGCGCGCAGGCGGUCGUUCAAGUCGCGUGUGAAAGCCCCCGGCUCAACUGGGGAGGGUCACGCGAUACUGAUCGACUCGAAGGCAGGAGAGGGAAGUGGAAUUCCCGGUGUAGUGGUGAAAUGCGUAGAUAUCGGGAGGAACACCAGUGGCGAAGGCGACUCUUUGGCCUGUAACUGACGCUGAGGCGCGAAAGCGUGGGGAGCAAACAGG